CCUACGGGGGGCAGCAGUGGGGAAUAUUGCACAAUGGAGGAAACUCUGAUGCAGCGACGCCGCGUGAGGGAAGAAGUAUUUCGGAUUGUAAACCUCUAUCAUCAGGGAAGAAGAAAUGACGGUACCUGACGAAGAAGCCCCGGCUAACUACGUGCCAGCAGCCGCGGUAAUACGUAGGGGGCAAGCGUUAUCCGGAUUUACUGGGUGUAAAGGGUGCGUAGGCGGCAAUGCAAGUCAGAUGUGAAAUCCAUGGGCUCAACCCAUGAACUGCAUUUGAAACUGUGGUUCUUGAGUGUCGGAGAGGUAAGCGGAAUUCCUAGUGUAGCGGUGAAAUGCGUAGAUAUUAGGAGGAACACCAGUGGCGAAGGCGGCUUACUGGACUGUAACUGACGCUGAGGCUCGAAAGCGUGGGGAGCAAACAGGAUUAGAUACCCCUGUAGUC
rnacentral:rRNA from 1 species